GACGAACGCUGGCGGCGUGCUUAACACAUGCAAGUCGAACGGUAAGGCCCUUCGGGGUACACGAGUGGCGAACGGGUGAGUAACGCGUGAGUAACCUGCCCUUGACUCUGGGAUAACAGAUGGAAACGUCUGCUAAUACCGGAUACUCAGCCUUGUGGGCAUCCACAGGGUUGGAAAGCUCCGGCGGUCAAGGAUGGACUCGCGUCCUAUCAGCUAGUUGGUGGGGUAAUGGCCUACCAAGGCGACGACGGGUAGCCGGCCUGAGAGGGCGACCGGCCACAUUGGGACUGAGAUACGGCCCAGACUCCUACGGGAGGCAGCAGUGGGGAAUAUUGCACAAUGGGCGCAAGCCUGAUGCAGCAACGCCGCGUGCGGGAUGACGGCCUUCGGGUUGUAAACCGCUUUCAGCAGGGACGAAGCGCAAGUGACGGUACCUGCAGAAGAAGCACCGGCUAACUACGUG
rnacentral:rRNA from 1 species